UGCAGUCGAGCGGAUGAGGGGAGCUUGCUCUCUGAUUCAGCGGCGGACGGGUGAGUAAUGCCUAGGAAUCUGCCUGGUAGUGGGGGACAACGUUUCGAAAGGAACGCUAAUACCGCAUACGUCCUACGGGAGAAAGCAGGGGACCUUCGGGCCUUGCGCUAUCAGAUGAGCCUAGGUCGGAUUAGCUAGUUGGUGAGGUAAUGGCUCACCAAGGCUGCGAUCCGUAACUGGUCUGAGAGGAUGAUCAGUCACACUGGAACUGAGACACGGUCCAGACUCCUACGGGAGGCAGCAGUGGGGAAUAUUGGACAAUGGGCGAAAGCCUGAUCCAGCCAUGCCGCGUGUGUGAAGAAGGUCUUCGGAUUGUAAAGCACUUUAAGUUGGGAGGAAGGGCAGUAAGUUAAUACCUUGCUGUUUUGACGUUACCGACAGAAUAAACACCGG
rnacentral:rRNA from 1 species